rnacentral:rRNA from 1 species
CCUACGGGUGGCAGCAGUGGGGAAUAUUGGGCAAUGGGCACAAGCCUGACCCAGCAACGCCGCGUGAAGGAAGAAGGCUUUCGGGUUGUAAACUUCUUUUAAGAGGGAAGCGCAGAAGACGGUACCUCUUGAAUAAGCCACGGCUAACUACGUGGCAGCAGCCGCGGUAAUACGUAGGUGGCAAGCGUUGUACGGAUUUACUGGGUGUAAAGGGCGUGUAGGGGGGCUGACAAGUCAGAUGUGAAAUCCCGUGGCUCAACCACGGAACUGCAUUUGAAACUGUCGGUCUUGAGUAUCGGAGAGGCAGGCGGAAUGCGUGGUGUAGCGGUGAAAUGCGUAGAUAUUAGGAGGAACACCAGUGGCGAAGGCGGCCUGCUGGCCGACAACUGACGGUGAGGCGCGAAAGCGUGGGGAGCAAACAGGAUUAGAUACCCGUGUAGUC